GCCGUGUUAGGCUCCUGCAUUGUGAUGCUCUGACUUGCCAUAGGACAGGAGACUCAUGCUUUUCGGAUAGCCAUGCUGUCCAGGGGCUUUUGUCUGCCUUCCAACAAACCAACUCACCAUUAAGGUCAAACUAUUAUGAGCUGCAGACUACUUGCAGUUUGUACUUUCAGCUUUUGCUCCUUGCGAGCUUGAGCCAAUUUCUUAGGCUGGGUUUUUUUCAGGGGAACCUUUUGUUCUGCUUGCUGUUUCCUUGCUCUUGGCUUUCCUGUAUCUGCUAUGCCCUGACUCCUUUGAACUGGCUCAGCCGCCCUUUCUUGUCUUGGUAUCAGUAGGGCCUGCCUUUU
rnacentral:lncRNA from 1 species